AGCUCCAAUAGCGUAUAUUAAAGUUGCUGCGGUUAAAAAGCUCGUAGUUGGGAUUCAAUUUGCAGCUUGCGGUCCACUCUAAGAGUGCGUAUCUGCUAGUUGGCAAUUUUGUUGAUGAGAGAUAGUAGACACUUUAAUGUUUUCACUUUUCUCGUCGAAUUCACUUUGAGGAAAUCAGAGUGCUAAUAGCAGGCUUAGGUCAUGUGUGCAGUAGCAUGGAAUGAUGCAAUGGGUCGACUACUGUUACUUGGUUGGAUGGCAGUCGGUAAAGAUCGAUAGAGGCAGUUGUGGGUAUUUGUAUUAAUGUGUCAGAGGUGGAAUUCUUGGACCACAUUACGACAGGCUGACGCGAAGGCAUUUAUCAAGGAUGUUUUCA
rnacentral:rRNA from 1 species